rnacentral:tRNA from 1 species
GAGGGUAUAGCUCAGUGGUAGAGCACGUGCUUAGCAGGAGGUCCUGGGUUCAGUCUCCCAGGACCUCCA